rnacentral:rRNA from 1 species
GACAGAGGAUGCAAGCGUUAUCCGGAAUGAUUGGGCGUAAAGCGUCUGUAGGUGGCUUUUUAAGUCUGCCGUCAAAUCCCAGGGCUUAACCCUGGACAGGCGGUGGAAACUACAUAGCUAGAGUACGUUCGGGGCAGAGGGAAUUCCUGGUGUAGCGGUGAAAUGCGUAGAGAUCAGGAAGAACACCAGUGGCGAAGGCGCUCUGCUAGGCCGUAACUGACACUGAGGGACGAAAGCUAGGGGAGCGAAUGGG